CCUCUAUAGAAACUUGAGUAGAAACACAAUUCAUGGGGCCAUCCCAUCAUCACUUGGAACAGUCACCACCUUACAAUUCUUGGAUCUCUCCUACAAUUCCCUCAACGGAUCAAUUCCUGAAAGCCUGGGACAGUUGACAGCAUUACGCAGAUUGAAUCUUAAUGGCAACUCUCUGUCUGGAAGAGUCCCGGCUGCACUUGGAGGAAGGCUUUUGAAUGGAGAUAGCUUCAAUUUUACCGAUAAUGCUGGCCUCUGCGGCAUACCCGGACUACGUACAUGUGGACUGCACCUCUCUGCUGGUGCAAAGGUCGGCAUCGUCUUCUUUGC